AUUGAACGCUGGCGGCAGGCCUAACACAUGCAAGUCGAACGAGUGGCGGACGGGUGAGUAAUGUCGUGGAAACUGCCUGAUGGAGGGGGAUAACUACUGGAAACGGUAGCUAAUACCGCAUACCAUCAGAUGGGCCCAGAUGGGAUUAGCUAGUAGGUGGGGUAUCGGCUCACCUAGGCGACGAUCCCUAGCUGGUCUGAGAGGAUGACCAGCCACACUGGAACUGAGACACGGUCCAGACUCCUACGGGAGGCAGCAGUGGGGAAUAUGGCACAAUGGUCGAAAGCCUGAUGCAGCCAUGCCGCGUGUAUGAAGAAGGCCUUCGGGUUGUAAAGCACUUGCAGCGGGGAGGCGUUACCCGCAGAAGAAGCACCGGCUAACUCCGUGCCAGCAGCCGCGGUAAUUC
rnacentral:rRNA from 1 species